rnacentral:rRNA from 1 species
UACAGAGACUGCAAGCGUUGUUCGGAUUCAUUGGGCGUAAAGGGUGCGUAGGCGGCGCGGUAAGUCGGGUGUGAAAUCUUGGAGCUUAACUCCGAAACUGCAUUCGAUACUGCCGUGCUUGAGGACUGGAGAGGAGACUGGAAUUUACGGUGUAGCGGUGAAAUGCGUAGAUAUCGUAAGGAAGACCAGUAGCGAAGGCGGGUCUCUGGACAGUUCCUGACGCUGAGGCACGAAGGCCAGGGGAGCAAACGGG